GACGUACAAAGACACACUAUGAGCCGGUAUGAUCCGACCAGACCUUACAUCAGCAUUGAGGAGUUGUCGGAGAAGAAAGAGGCUGAUUGAAGCGGGACAGAUGACAUGGAUCCAUCCUUCCACAGCCAGGAGUGCACCGACCUGUGUCCCACACUUCAUAUAAGACUGGAAGCUACACUGGAUCUCACAGCUACACACCACAGACGUCUACACACUGGAGAAGAGUCCCACAAAGAAGUCAUGACCCAGAGGCUGCAGAGAAACAUUUCAAGCCUCACCUGAGAUUUUGUACAAUAUUUUUGCUGUAUGUAAAUAAAGCUUUCACUCCACAUA